rnacentral:piRNA from 1 species
UUGGUGCUGAACUACAACCAAACAAAUGGUGU